AUGACCGGCUUGCUCGGGAAGUUGGUUGAGGGGUGGACGUCCCUCAGUGGCUCUGACAGCGACGCGGUUGCGAGGCAGUUCACUUCAUUUGUCCCAGAACAUACACAUCGGCCAACUGGUUGCCGUGGCCGGGUGAAGAAGACUACUACGCGCGGGGCCAAGCAUACCAGUAAGGACCCACUCGAACGCCUUCAUUCAAAGUUGUCAACAGGGGGCAACUUAGAUGUUCAUGAGGUGCCAGGCGACAAUACUGCUGCUGCACCGUCAACUGCUCCCACUAACUCUGACGCAAGUGGCCGACCAUCUCCGUCGGCUACAGAUGUGCAGGCUAGAACAACAGGCAUCCGUACAUCGAGGAGUGAAGAGUCGGUAUCUGCCAGGACAGCUGAAAUAUUGCCAACUCUUCUAGCAAUGAAGGAUGCUGCUGUGAGCCAUGCCACCCCAUCAGCAAGCGUUGAAGUGGACGCUCCCGAGACCAACCUAAGCAAGGAAGAUUCCCGCUCAUCUGACACUGAUUCGAAGCGCGUGUGUGGUGGCACUCCUGUGUCCAUGACAGAAGUGGCUGAGGUGGCAGUUCACAAUGAUAUGCCAUCUACAGGUGAGAGUCUUGGCACAACAGCUCCAGCUCCUGUCGGUGUAGAUACUGCGAAGGUGGCUGUUUCCCGUGCUGGUCUUCCACCUAGGCAUCGUAGCCCCCGCAAGCAAUCAACAUACAUACCCAACGCACCAGCUGUAGCUAGGAGCAGCAGAGACGAGUCUGGUUAUGUUCCUGCGUCCACACUAUUCCCGCCACCUGCCAAAAGCAAUGUGAUGGAGAAACCGGAAGAUCGGAGCACAACUGAUGCAUGUGUCAAGCCGGGCACGAGUGACGCAGGUGAACGUCCAGAGCAGACUGCGCCUUUACCCGCAGUGGAAAUUCCCAGCUUAAAUCUGCGCACUUCCAGGCUCCCAGUCAAUGUGGGUGUCCCAUACAGCCCAAACAAGAAGAUUGUUAAGAAAGCUGCGGCUGAUACCGCUGACAACACGCCUCGCCCUACAAAUAAGCCCGAUCAUUCUGUAGCGGCCGAUUCAGAUAUGUUUGUUGAUCUUUCACCCUUGGAUUCUGCCCCGCAAGUUGUUCGUGGUCCGGUCAGUAGGCAUGAGAGGCACCCAAUGGCCUUCACCCCACUGAGCUUUAGUCUUGGCAUUAGUCAAGAUCAACCAGUGGUGCCAGAUCCUAUGCCAGUUGCCUUUGCUUUCCCGGGAGGCAUGCCCGCAAUGAUGGCGCAGCCAAUGGUCGAGGGCAGGAAGGCUGUCAAGUUCGCAGAGCCGAUAGUCCAAGGAUCGAGGAGGCAGCAUUGCAGAGGAGGUCCUCACGAGGGCAGGGGCAAUCAAGUUCCAACAUGCCUGCAGAUACGGUAUCUGAGGAUACCAUUAGGAGUGCCACCCCUGGUUCUGUGA
rnacentral:rRNA from 1 species